CAUCCUCCAAGGCUAAAUACUCCUGACUGACCGAUAGUGAACCAGUACCGUGAGGGAAAGGCGAAAAGAACCCCGGCGAGGGGAGUGAAAAAGAACCUGAAACCGUGUACGUACAAGCAGUGGGAGCACAGGUUUACCUGUGUGACUGCGUACCUUUUGUAUAAUGGGUCAGCGACUUAUAUUCUGUAGCAAGGUUAACCGAAUAGGGGAGCCGGAGGGAAACCGAGUCUUAAUUGGGCGUUAAGUUGCAGGGUAUAGACCCGAAACCCGGUGAUCUAGCCAUGGGCAGGUUGAAGGUUGGGUAACACUAACUGGAGGACCGAACCGACUAAUGUUGAAAAAUUAGCGGAUGACCUGUGGCUGGGGGUGAAAGGCCAAUCAAACCGGGAGAUAGCUGGUUCUCCCCGAAAGCUAUUUAGGUAGCGCCUCGUGAAUUCAUCUCCGGGGGUAGAGCACUGUUUCGGCUAGGGGGCCAUCCCGGCUUACCAACCCGAUGCAAACUGCGAAUACCGGAGAAUGUUAUCACGGGAGACACACGGCGGGUGCUAACGUCCGUCGUGAAGAGGGAAACAACCCAGACCGCCAGCUAAGGUCCCAAAGUCAUGGUUAAGUGGGAAACGAUGUGGGAAGGCCCAGACAGCCAGGAUGUUGGCUUAGAAGCAGCCAUCAUUUAAAGAAAGCGUAAUAGCUCACUGGUCGAGUCGGCCUGCGCGGAAGAUGUAACGGGGCUAAACCAUGCACCGAAGCUGCGGCAGCGAACGUAUCACUUAAAGCGAUUCAGCGGGUUACGAUUGACGGAGCGAAGCGACGUCAAAGCGUAUACAAAGUCGAGUCGGUUUAAGGAUACGUUCGUUGGGUAGGGGAGCGUUCUGUAAGCCUGUGAAGGUGGCCUGUGAGGGUUGCUGGAGGUAUCAGAAGUGCGAAUGCUGACAUAAGUAACGAUAAAGCGGGUGAAAAGCCCGCUCGCCGGAAGACCAAGGGUUCCUGUCCAACGUUAAUCGGGGCAGGGUGAGUCGACCCCUAAGGCGAGGCCGAAAGGCGUAGUCGAUGGGAAACGGGUUAAUAUUCCCGUACUUGGUGUUACUGCGAAGGGGGGACGGAGAAGGCUAUGUUGGCCGGGCGACGGUUGUCCCGGUUUAAGCGUGUAGGUGUGUGUUCCAGGUAAAUCCGGUUCACUUUAACACUGAGGCGUGAUGACGAGGCACUACGGUGCUGAAGCAACAAAUGCCCUGCUUCCAGGAAAAGCCUCUAAGCAUCAGGUAACAUCAAAUCGUACCCCAAACCGACACAGGUGGUCAGGUAGAGAAUACCAAGGCGCUUGAGAGAACUCGGGUGAAGGAACUAGGCAAAAUGGUGCCGUAACUUCGGGAGAAGGCACGCUGACA
rnacentral:rRNA from 1 species